GGUUAAAGUUUAACUGUACCGAAGACAGUAGGUGACGCAAGUCUUAAUUUCCUACCGAGGACAAUUAUUGAGAACAUUCAAUAGUCCCUCUAUGUCUGCGGUGGCAUGGAGUUUUUUUGCGUUUUCA
rfam:Enterococcus canis strain DSM 17029 Scaffold3, whole genome shotgun sequence.